GGGAGCUAUUGCUGCCAUAUGUAUGGAUAAAGAUCUUGUGGGUAGUUUCCUAUUUACUCUUGCUCUAAAUCAUAAGCAGAUGAGUGCAUAUUUUGCUCCAGCAUUUUUCAGCCAUCUCCUGGGGAAAUGUAUGAGGCGUAGAAACCCCAUUGUUGAAGUGUUAAAAUUGGGCUUGGUGGUAUUGGGAACUUUUGCUAUUAUUUGGUCGCCAUACCUUCAUUCAGUUGAUGCCCUUUUGCAGGUUCUAUCACGUCUUGCUCCCUUUGAGAGAGGAUUAUAUGAAGAUUAUGUGGCGAACUUUUGGUGUACCACAUCUGUCCUUAUUAAGUGGAAGAGAUUAUUUUCAGUAAAAUUACUGAAGUUUCUCAGCUUCACUGCUACACUGUCUACAUGUUUACCUUCCAUGAUUCAACAGAUUCGUGUACCAAGUAACCGGGGGUUUCUAUAUGGC
rnacentral:misc_RNA from 1 species